GAGUUUCCAACUCCCAAACCCACUGUGAACCUAUACCUCUACACCGUUGCUUCGGCGGGUCUUCGCCCCGGCCAGCCAGGUUCCCCCCUCCCCCACGCGCGGGGCGGUUGGGCCAGGCCCCGGAUCUAGGCGCCCGCCGGGGGACCCCAAACCUCUUGUAUUUUGCACUUUUGGCAUGUCUGAGUGGAAUCAUCACAGAAUGAAUCAAAACUUUCAACAACGGAUCUCUUGGUUCU
rnacentral:misc_RNA from 1 species